rnacentral:rRNA from 1 species
CUGGUAGUCCAUACCGUAAACGAUGAAUGCUAAGUGUUGGAGGUUUCCCCUUCAGUGCUGCAGCUAACGCAUUAAGCAUUCCGCUGGGGAGUACGGCCACAAGGCUGAAACUCAAAGGAAUUGACGGGGGCCCGCACAAGCGGUGGAGCAUGUGGUUUAAUUCGAAGCUACGCGAAGAACCUUACCAGGUCUUGACAUACUAUGCAAAUCUAAGAGAUUAGACGUUCCCUUCGGGGACAUGGAUACAGGUGGUGCAUGGUUGUCGUCAGCUCGUGUCGUGAGAUGUUGGGUUAAGUCCCGCAACGAGCGCAACCCUUAUUAUCAGUUGCCAGCAUUAAGUUGGGCACUCUGGUGAGACUGCCGGUGACAAACCGGAGGAAGGUGGGGAUGACGUCAAAUCAUCAUGCCCCUUAUGACCUGGGCUACACACGUGCUACAAUGGAUGGUACAACGAGUUGCGAACUCGCGAGAGUAAGCUAAUCUCUUAAAGCCAUUCUCAGUUCGGAUUGUAGGCUGCAACUCGCCUACAUGAAGUCGGAAUCGCUAGUAAUCGCGGAUCAGCAUGCCGCGGUGAAUACGUUCCCGGGCCUUGUACACACCGCCCGUCACACCAUGAGAGUUUGUAACACCCAAAGUCGGUGGGGUAACCUUUAGGAACCAGCCGCCUAAGGUGGGACAGAUGAUUAGGGUGAAGUCGUAACAAGGUAACCA